rnacentral:rRNA from 1 species
UACUUCCCCUUGUCGUCAGCGCGGUCCGCCGUACGGAGCAGGCUCGGCGUACCACCGGCUGUGUAGCCGCGAAAGUACCAGCCAGGACCCGCCACGGAACAGUCGCAGCACCUACCGAACCCGUCGCGGAACCGUAGGUUCUCCCCGCUUCACCCGGCCGGUCGUACGCACCCCGCGUUUCCGGUGCUCGUCCUUCCUCUACGCGACCUCCACUACCUCCUCCUUCAACCUCCACCGUAGUCGCAGGUACCGCUGCGGCGGUGCCCUGGGGGGACGUGUGGAGUCGCAGGUACCGUUGCGGCGGUACCCUUGGGGGGACGUGUGGAGCCGUACGGAGCAGACACGGUGUACCACCGGCUCUACGCCGGCGGGUACGAGACGGCCGCGGCAGAGUAGGAGAAGUAGUUCUCCUCCGUAGAGACGGCCUGGUGCGGAGGGGUCGGUGGAGGACCUACUCCGACUCCACUCGUAGUACUGCUACUCGUCCGGACACCGACUACAUCUCUCGAGGAAGUUGCCCUUCAUCGUCACGACCUUCUUGAACUUCUACUCGUCCACUUAAGUACCGGUUCUACCUGCCUAAAGACAACACACCCGAUCUCCAAGAACUCCAUCUCGUGGUCGUGGUUGAUUCGAAGGUAAGACCAUUUUACACCUUUAAUCGUUCGUCCGAUAUCAGCCACGUACCUACUGGUUCAAAUGAAUAAUGAAAUACUUCUACUACUAAGGAUUUACCUUAAUCCUCGAUCCAGGUCGUACAACUAACACGAAGUUCCAUGUCAACAAACAUGGAAUAUUUUGAUUACGAAAAAUAACCACACGUAGAACUGGCUUUCGAACUAAGUAUCUAUCGAAGAGAAACCGGUACACUAAUAAACUUCUAAAAACGAGAUACAACAAAGGGAACUAAUCCAAGUCUUCUACUAACGUCGUUAAUCAGGUUAAUUAUAAAACAAGUAUACGAAACUUAUUUUGACACAAGUCUGUAGUACAACAUACGUGAAUCCCACGUAGGUUAGUAAAAACAUCCAACUUUGUGCUCUUCUUCAUGAUAGAACGGACGGACUUUAACUGUCCUCGAAUCAGACUUACAGCUUCUUUAUGACCUUACAUCCUACCUCUCCAAUCGUACGAAUGAGGUACAUUAUUAAAGUCUUGAUGACACAAUAUCAUUACAUAAAUCGAUUUGGAAAGUAAGCCGUGUAGGUAUUGAGUUGGUCAAAUACGUACUACUAAAUCCCGCAUAAAUAAAGGUUUCGUUUGUUUGAUGACCAGAAGCGACCCAUUCCUAUCCACAAACCAUGGCUUUGUUUUUAAAUGAAACAGCCCGAUUGAUCGUACGUACCCGAUCUGUUAGAACCGUGUGACCCUUUUGUUACAUUACAACGUCGUACAGUUGUAGUACAAGAUUUGGUAAAAAUCACCGACUCUCUUCUUUGUUAACAGGUCCGAGUAUUCUUUCUCGAAAAUUAAAAUCCGGUAACAAAGCUGCUCGACCACUUGUUGGACCCAUAGAUUAAAAUAUACUCGGUCCCUUUCGUUAAAAUAUGGAUUGUCGAGAGGGGACUAAACCUAGAAACAACCGGCAAGCUAGAACGAGUAAAGCCAGUUAACACGGUCAAGCCAGCAGGCUAGGAACGUAGCACAAUAGUGGAACGGAUAAAAUAAGAGGAGUGAAACAGUACCUAAUUGUAGUAUAAUGAUUAAAAAACACAACUUGAUUGGUCAAAUUGUUAGUUUUAACUACCGGAACGUAGUUGACAACAACAAGACGAUCGGUAUCCGACGGGAGUCCAAGUAUUAAGAUUCGAACCUGGUACACCGGGUGGAAUUGGUUACGUCGAACUACUGAGGCACACCAACGAUCCCCUUGUCCAACACGACUAUUUUCAGGUACUUAAAAAAUAAUCGUAGUAAUAAAAAGUUAAACUAGAUAACAAAAGAUCGAAAAGAACACAUAGUUGAAGGUAUAUGCCAUGACAAACAGUUCGUAAUGAUAACAAGAGUGAAUCUUAAAAAAUAAAAGAAGAAACGAUGAAAUUUAAAUCUACGAGUUCUUUAAACCAUUCAUAGUAUCACCAAGCCCGGAACCACGAUGUACUCUGUGUUAGUGGAAGUUUCAUGUACACACAUAAUACCUAUAAUUACGAAAACGAGUAAGAUUAAAAAAUGAAUUCCACCAAUGUAAAAGAAUGAAGAACGACUUUAUCUCACUUAAGUCAGUACUUGUACGUAACUAUAUAAAUAACAAUCAAAUAGAAGCACAAUAGCCAUACGAAAGCUACCGACGUUGGACUUGAUUAAUAUAGUGAUAAGGGUAGAAUGAAUCACCGUAACGAUACGAAGUGCCAUAUGUUACAAAACGUACGGUCAUAUUAAGUAUUCACCAAAAGCAUAAAUCCACAAUAAUUAUACCACUCACUAACUUCCCCUCCGUACUCCUCUUCUCGUCAGGUUUCCCACCUACCUCGUACAGUGAACAACUACAAGAAAGGUAAAGGCCUGUCUUGUUGGCAAGAUACUAAACCCACAUACAACUACACACUUUCAGUUCGUAAACCUAAGGGUUGAUCUGAUAACACACACAAAUUAUAAAAUAACACGUAACUAUUUUACAAAGUCACGGGUACACGUGUUCAAUUUAAAACUUUAUCUACUUUCCUGUUGUGUCGUAUUCCCUCAAACGGGAAAUCCUUCCAAGAACAGACGACAACACUAAUUUUAAUCCUUUAAAUAUAUGGAUAUCGUCCUAUCAACGAGUUCGAGUUCAGAAUACAUUGUACAUUGUAGAUUUGAUACAAACACGAUUAUUAAAAAGGGUAACUUUUUCCGG